UACGUAGGGUGCAAGCGUUGUCCGGAAUUAUUGGGCGUAAAGAGCUCGUAGGCGGCUUGUCACGUCUGCUGUGAAAACUCGGGGCUCAACCCCGAGCCUGCAGUGGAUACGGGCUAGCUAGAGUGCGGUAGGGGAGACUGGAAUUCCUGGUGUAGCGGUGAAAUGCGCAGAUAUCAGGAAGAACACCGAUGGCGAAGGCAGCUCUCUGGGACGGUACUGACGCUGAGACGCGAAAGCGUGGGGAGCGAACAGG
rnacentral:rRNA from 1 species